rnacentral:misc_RNA from 1 species
AAAAUAGUUGUCUAUUCAUUAAAAAGUAUCAAAAGAAACUAUUUAUCACAAACAAUUGUAUCUGCUUCAAGUAAGGGUGGCCAUGGUCUGAUUUCAAACUGAAACCGAACCAAUCAAAAUCAAAAUCAACAUCAAAUCAGACCGAAACUACCCUUCUGUGGUUUGGUUUAGAUUCAAAUUUUUCAGAAACUGUGAAUCAGCGAUGUCAAACCGGAUUGAACUAACGAUUCCAAACCAGAUCAAACCGACAAUUUAAAUACAAAAGAAUUCAAU